rnacentral:rRNA from 1 species
GAUAAACGCUAGCGGCAGGCUUAACACAUGCAAGUCGAGGGGCAGCAUAGAUUGUAGCAAUACAAUUGGUGGCGACCGGCGCACGGGUGCGUAACGCGUAUGCAACCUACCCGUCACAGGGGGAUAAUCCGGAGAAAUCUGGUCUAAUACCCCAUAACAUAUGGAUCGGCAUCGGUUCAUGUUGAAAUUUUCGGAGGUGACGGAUGGGCAUGCGUAGCAUUAGCUUGUUGGUGAGGUAACGGCUCACCAAGGCAACGAUGCUUAGGGGGACUGAGAGGUUUUCCCCCCACACUCGUACUGAGACACGGACCAGACUCCUACGGGAGGCAGCAGGGAGGAAUAUUGGUCAAUGGGCGCAAGCCUGAACCAGCCAUGCCGCGUGCAGGAUGACGGCUCUAUGAGUUGUAAACUGCUUUUGUACGAGGGUAAAGUGGGUUACGUGUAACCUUUUGAAAGUAUCGUACGAAUAAGGAUCGGCUGACUCCGUGCCAGCCGCCGCCGUAA